GUGAUUUUAGCCUUUCUCUGAAGAAUCUCCUCCUGGCUCCUGACAGAGCUUGGCAGUCACCCUCUGGCUCCGUUCUUCAGAGGGAAUGAACACAUCAGCCUGUGAGCUAACUUGGCCUGAACACCACCCUUGAGACUCAGAAUCCGCUGCAGAGGGGCGGGAGACGAGAGAAGGGAGACAGGGCGAGAACCCUCCGCAGCUGAUUGCGGCGCGUGGAAGUACCAGGUCGGGAAGGAAGUCUUCGACAGCUGACGCCUCGAGUAGAAAUGAAGAGCAGCCCACCCUCUGAGAGUCGCUGUCACUGAGGAAGGGCGAGCGGAAGCCCUGACCUUCCCCGCAGCUCCCGGGGGGCACUGCCUUCUGGCACUUUCUGAGCUCCUCCCCUCUCCCAUCCUCUUGGCCUCAACCGUCUCUCCAGCGCGCACACACCCCACCCUCAGAGAACCUGAUGGUAUCCUGGGUGAACUCUCGGGUGAAAGCCCUAAAGGCAACCGAGAAGGCUUAUAAAAAAGCAAAUCCCAGUGAUCUGUUUGGAGGGGAAAAAAGGGAAAGUUUUGAAUAGCAUCCUCAGCACUGAUGGUGGUGAGCGGUGCAAAUGAAACGAAAUCUUCAGCCCUCAGUCCUGAGCUUCUCUACUGGAGCAAACAACAAGGAAAUGUCCGUCUCGCCUUUGUUUGUUGGGAACUGGAGAAAAAUGGGCCACAAAAAGCUGAAGUACGCUGCUGGGAAAGAUCACCAUAACCCCAGGAUCUGCCUACCACAUGGCAUGGCUCUGGCUGGGUCACUGAGCAGAGCCUCAGGAAGAGGAAUUUACAAGGAGUGGCUUCUUGAGGACCCGAGCAGUCAAGGAUCAGGUGCUGACCAUUUCCGGCCUCUCCUUCCCUACUCCUCUCCUCCCCUAAUGCCCCGUCUCCCAUCUGGCUUUUGGGGAAAGCAUACCCCGGACCAGUGGUUCUCAAACUUUAGCUGCAUCAGAAUCACUUGAAGGGCUUGUUAAGACCCAGAUUGCUGGGCUCCACCACCCUGUUUCUGAUUUAGGAGCUUUGGGAAAGUGGGGUGCAAGAAUUGAAUUUUUAUCAACUUCCCAUGGGAUGGUGAUGCUGCUGACACAGAGAGCACACUUUAAGAACCACUGGUGUGUAGCACUGAUCUUCAGGAUGGGUGGGUAGUUAAUACAAUAUUUAGUCAAAAACCACUAGUUGCUCCCUAAUAUCUACUCUCCCCUUCCUCAGCAGUACUAGAACCUUGGUUAUUUAGCUGAGCAGAUAGCCAACCAAAAUAGAGGUAAUAUUUUCUAUUAUUUUAAUUAAUUGAAAUUUAAUUUAAUAAUUUCUAAUAUUUUCAUGUGCUCUAUUACAGCUGAUGGCAUAUGAGCAGUAGUAUGCACUGUAGCUUCCAGGUUGUGCCCCUUAAGGGAUACGGCAGGCCCUUCACCUUCCACCUCCGUGCUGGCUGGAACACACACAUGGAGGGAAGUCAUCUUGGACUUUGCAGAAGGAGUAGGGGCCACUGAUGACUUAGUGGAACUCGGUCUUAACCAUCUUGGACUUAUAUAUGAAAGAAAAAUAAACUCCUAUCUUUAUGUAAGCCA
rnacentral:lncRNA from 1 species